ACAGCAGUAGCCGCGGUAAUACGAAGGGUGCAAGCGUUAAUCGGAAUUACUGGGCGUAAAGCGUGCGUAGGCGGUGAGUUAAGUCUGCUGUGAAAUCCCCGGGCUCAACCUGGGAAUUGCAGUGGAUACUGGGUCACUAGAGUGUGGUAGAGGAUAGUGGAAUUUCCGGUGUAGCAGUGAAAUGCGUAGAGAUCGGAAGGAACAUCUGUGGCGAAGGCGACUAUCUGGGCCAACACUGACACUGAGGCACGAAAGCGUGGGGAGCAAACAGGAUUAGAUACCCCUGUAGUCCCUGUCUCUUAUAC
rnacentral:rRNA from 1 species